rnacentral:lncRNA from 1 species
CCGCAGCUCUCGCCAGAGCCUUUGGAUCAAGGGAGAAAGAGAACCGGCGGCUGGCCUCGGACUCUAAGCGGUGCGCAGCUCCAGCCCGGGCGGAUCGGCCCUGAACCCACAAAGGGCUCCUCGCUCCUUCAAGCCUCCACCACCUCGCAGCCCGGGAGGCAACUGGAGCGAAACCAGCGACAGAUGCUUCUGAGGUUUUAUGAAAAUAAUGAACUGAAAACACCUGCUCAGCCAUUAGAGUUACAGACACACCUCAAGAGGAAGUGGGGUACAAGGAGUCCUGCUAUUCUUUGUAGCAGUCUUACUGUCGAACAUCCAGUGUAGGCCUUUGCACAUUAACAGAAUAGAAUAAAGACAUGAAAAAUGCAAUAUUUGAGGUCUGUUGUUUUUCUUUCAUUGGGAACUACUGUCAUUUCUCUGAAGGUCCCC